CAGGCCUGCCUCGUUUCUCCAGAGUCAGAAAACCUCUUAAGAACACGGAUAUCUUACUACUCUUUCUACAGCCAGCACCAAGGAGGGAUCCUGUUAUGUUGGUUGUCACUGUCCACUCAACUGAAACCACUGCCACUAAGGUCCCCAUGGUGGAAGAGAUCCAUCCUAAUCCCGUUUUCUGGCUUUAUCCACCAGGUUGUAUCUCUGGAACAACGCAGCUGAACGUGUCACCUCUCUGUUUUAACCUUCGUGUGGCUCUGUUUUGCCUUGGACCGUCCAACCAUCAUGGCAUAGAACAUGACCUCCAGGUGACUCAUCCUAAUCUUCCAGAACCCCCCAACACCUUUGCUCCAAACAGACUUCUUGCCUCAAACACCAGGUUCCUCUCUGUCUCCACACCUUUUUUUCAUUACCUUUUCUAUUUUUGAAGAGCCUUUGACUUUUCUUACGGUGUAAAGCUUUUAAUCACCCAUCAAGAAGCCAUUCAGGCAUUACCUCCUGUGUGACGUUUUCCCUAUUGCGUAGGCAGGUGGUUGUUUCCACUUCUGGCCUCUGACUCUUGGUUGUAGUACUUACAGGUGGGUGUCCUACUUUUCUCACAGAUUUGUCUCUUGGUCUAGUCGAGGAUGUUUUCCAACACCAGCAAGUGAUGCUCCGCAGACACUGAUUGGGUGCCUACAAUUUGGCUCAAAUCUGACACUGUCUCCCGGCAGAAAAGAGUCAGACCCCACAGAGAAGGGCUCAGUCCAACAAGACGACCCCUUCUCCCCAUUACGUUAAUUGAACGAGGCCAUUAGACCCAUGUGGCUGUAAUGCUGUGGUGGCCUGUGUAAGCAAAUCAACAUCGAAGCCUGUACAUGCCUCAAGGUUAUGAAAUUGAGACCUAAGGACAACCAAGCACCAGGAGCCAACUAAGCUUUAAGCUAUAGCAAAUCAAAUGAUUUUAUAAAAGGAUAAAAUGAUUAUAAAAGGAUAUAACUCAGGGAUGGCAGAUGGAAGAGAUGUGUAGGACAAGGUAUGUGGGAAGGGGCAUAGGGCUGCCAUGACCUCUCUGGGUGCACUACUUUCCUAGGACCUCCAUAUCCACCAACCCCGAAGCUCUCCAAAUCCCUUCCUUUGGGGAUUUUAAUGGAAGCUCCCUUACAUAGGUACAACGAAUGAAAUCAAUGGUCAUUGGCAAUUGAUUUGAUCUCCAGCUCCUCUUCCCUUCUCUGAAUUGGGAGGACUGAGAAGAGUUGAGCGGUGGGAGGGCGUGGGGGUUGGGGUGGGACUGAGAGUCCCAAUCUUCUAACCGUGGUGGGUUCCCCUGGCAAUUAGCUCCCAUCCUUAAGAGAUUUCCAAAAGUCACCUUAUUAACAUAAACUCAGGUGCGUUUGAAAGGGGCUCUGUGUGGAUAACGAGUCACUUUUCACCUUGAUGGCUCUGCAGCUAUUUCGGGAACUGAUGACAGAAGACCAAAUAUUAUAACAAAAGAUGCCCUUAAGAUUCUUAUAUAAGAAAUUACUAGGGUUUUAGGAGCUAUGUGCCAGCCACAGUAGAUGAAGACCCAAUCUGUGUUUGUUAUUAUCAUAAUUCAACUCCCCAAAUCCUCAUAGACAGGGCCAGAUUAUUCUUUUUCUCAUGUGGUCAUCGACAACCAGCAUCAAACACCUAUUAAGCACUUAACAAUGCUUUUGUUUUUAAAUUUUUUUAAUGUUUAUUUUUGAAAGGGAGAGAGAGAGAGAGAGAGAGAGAGAACAAGAGGGGGAGGGGCAGAGAGAGAAGGAGACACAGAAUCCGAAGCAGGCUUCAGGCUCCGAGCUGUCAGCACAGAGCCCGAUGUGGGGUUCAAACCCCGCGAGAUCAUGACCUGAGCCGAAGUUGGACGCUUAACUGACUGAGCCACCCAGGCGCCCCAACAAUGCUUACUGAAUGAACUGAAAGAAAUAGUGUUUGUGAGUGAUGCUGCGUUGUAUACCUGCUCUAAUAAGACAUUUCCUUGGAUCUUGGCAAGAAAAUUUUAUUUCUAAGUUAUCAUUAAAUGAUGUAAUUGCUAGCAUUUCUCUUCAUCUUUGCCCUCAAAAUUGGUCACACAUAAAAUACUCUGAGAAUUCACAUGAUGCGAUUACAGCUAUCAGAAAGCCUCGCCGUGAAAUUUGAUUCUAUUAACAUUUUUCUAGAGAAUAUGUUUGUUGAAUGAAUAGAUGUAUGAAUAAAAAACAAAUGAUUGAAAGAGUGUUGUGUGGU
rnacentral:lncRNA from 1 species